rnacentral:lncRNA from 1 species
UUCAUAUUCUUUUCAAAUUCAGCCUCUUCUCCGUUAUCUAUCCUCAAAUCCCAAAACCCCCCAUUUCCACUUCUCUCACCUCACAUUUUGCUUAAAAACUCCAUCUUUGAACUCCAAAAAAAAAAAAUCCAAAACACUUCAGAUCACAAAAACCCCAUUUCCACUUUCCCUUUUUAUACUUAGAUCUCCACUUCUUUCAUCUCACAUUUGCUUAAAAAUUCAUACUUUGAACCUAAAAACCAAACAAACACCUCAAAUCUCAAAAACCCCAUUUCCACUUUCCCUUAUUAUACUCAGAUCUCCACUUCUUUCAUCUCACAUUUGCUUAAAGAUUCAAUCUUUGAACCAAAAAACCCAACAAAUACCUCAAAUCUCAAAAACCCCAUUUCCAAAUUCCUUUCUUAUACACAAAUUUCCACUUUUUUCACCUCAAGUUUGCUUAAAGAUUCAAUCUUUGAACAAAAACAAGAUUCUUGAUUUUCAGAUGACUUAUGUGAGAUGAAGGAAAAAACACA